rnacentral:rRNA from 1 species
AUUGAACGCUAGCGGGAUGCUUUACACAUGCAAGUCGAACGAGUGGCGGACGGGUGAGUAAUAUAUCGGAACGUGCCCCGUAGCGGGGGAUAACUACUCGAAAGAGUGGCUAAUACCGCCUACUCUUGGAGCGGCCGAUAUCGGAUUAGCUAGUUGGUGGGGUCACGGCUCACCAAGGACACGAUCCGUAGCUGGUUUGAGAGGACGACCAGCCAAACUGGGACUGAGACAAGGUCCCGAGUCCUAAGGGAGGAAGCAGUGGGGAAUUUUGGACAAUGGGGGAAACCCGGAGCCAGCCAGCCCGCGUGUGUGAGAAGGUCUUCGGGUUGUAAAGUACUUUUAGCAGAGAAGCGGUAUCUGCAGAAUAAGCACCGGCUAACUACGUGCCAGCAGCCGCGGUAAUAC